ensembl:lncRNA
GGCUGGUAUAGAUAGGUAGGGCUGGUAUUGAUGGAUAUGGCUGAUAUAGAUGGAUAGGGCUGGUAUAGAUGGAUAGGGCUGGGGUAAGGGCUGGUAUAGAUAGGUAGGGCUGGUAUAGAUAGGUAGGGCUGGUAUAGGUGGAUAGGGCUGAUAUAGAUGGGUAUGGCUGGUAUAGAUGGAUAGGGCUGGUAUAGAUGGGUAGGGCUGGUAUAGAUGGAUAGGGCUGGUAUAAGGGCUGGUAUAGAUAGGUAGGGCUGGUAUAGAUAGUUAGGGCUGGUAUAGGUGGAUAGGGCUGAUAUAGGUGGAUAGGGCUGGUAUACUGUAGAUGGUAUGGCUGGUAUAGAUGGAUAGGGCUGGUAUAGAUGGUUAGGGCUGGGGUAAGGGCUGGUAUAGACGGAUGGGGCUGGUAUAAUUCGACAGGACUUUUAUAGAUAGGUAGGGCUGGUAUAGAUAGGUAGGGCUGGUAUAGAUGAUAGGGCUGGUAUAGAUGAUAGGGCUGGUAUAGAUGGAUAGGGCUGGUAUAGAUGGAUAGGGCUGGUAUAGAUGGAUAGGGCUGGUAUAGAUGGAUAGGGCUGGUAUAGAUGAUUGGGGCUGGUAUAGACGGAUGGGGCUGGUAUAAUUCGACAGGGCUUUUAUAGAUGAUAGGGCUGGUAUAGAUAGAUAGGGC